rnacentral:rRNA from 1 species
GAUGAACGCUGGCGGCGUGCCUAAUACAUGCAAGUCGAGCGAACAGACGAGGAGCUUGCUCCUCUGACGUUAGCGGCGGACGGGUGAGUAAAACGUGGAUAACCUACCUAUAAGACUGGGAUAACUUCGGGAAACCGGAGCUAAUACCGGAUAAUAUAUUGAACCGCAUGGUUCAAUAGUGAAAGACGGUUUUGCUGUCACUUAUAGAUGGAUCCGCGCCGCAUUAGCUAGUUGGUAAGGUAACGGCUUACCAAGGCAACGAUGCGUAGCCGACCUGAGAGGGUGAUCGGCCACACUGGAACUGAGACACGGUCCAGACUCCUACGGGAGGCAGCAGUAGGGAAUCUUGCGCAAUGGGCGAAAGCCUGACGGAGCAACGCCGCGUGAGUGAUGAAGGUCUUCGGAUCGUAAAACUCUGUUAGUAGGGAAGAACAAAGGUGUAAGUAACUAUGCACGUCUUGACGGUACCUAAUCAGAAAGCCACGGCUAACUACGUG